AGCGUACACGGUGGAUGCCCUGGCAGUCAGAGGCGAUGAAGGACGUGCUAAUCUGCGAUAAGCGUCGGUAAGGUGAUAUGAACCGUUAUAACCGGCGAUUUCCGAAUGGGGAAACCCAGUGUGAUUCGUCACACUAUCAUUAACUGAAUCCAUAGGUUAAUGAGGCGAACCGGGGGAACUGAAACAUCUAAGUACCCCGAGGAAAAGAAAUCAACCGAGAUUCCCCCAGUAGCGGCGAGCGAACGGGGAGCAGCCCAGAGCCUGAAUCAGUGUGUGUGUUAGUGGAAGCGUCUGGAAAGGCGCGCGAUACAGGGUGACAGCCCCGUACACAAAAAUGCACAUACUGUGAGCUCGAUGAGUAGGGCGGGACACGUGGUAUCCUGUCUGAAUAUGGGGGGACCAUCCUCCAAGGCUAAAUACUCCUGACUGACCGAUAGUGAACCAGUACCGUGAGGGAAAGGCGAAAAGAACCCCGGCGAGGGGAGUGAAAAAGAACCUGAAACCGUGUACGUACAAGCAGUGGGAGCACAGAGCAAUCUGUGUGACUGCGUACCUUUUGUAUAAUGGGUCAGCGACUUAUAUUCUGUAGCAAGGUUAACCGAAUAGGGGAGCCGAAGGGAAACCGAGUCUUAACUGGGCGUUAAGUUGCAGGGUAUAGACCCGAAACCCGGUGAUCUAGCCAUGGGCAGGUUGAAGGUUGGGUAACACUAACUGGAGGACCGAACCGACUAAUGUUGAAAAAUUAGCGGAUGACUUGUGGCUGGGGGUGAAAGGCCAAUCAAACCGGGAGAUAGCUGGUUCUCCCCGAAAGCUAUUUAGGUAGCGCCUCGUGAAUUCAUCUCCGGGGGUAGAGCACUGUUUCGGCAAGGGGGUCAUCCCGACUUACCAACCCGAUGCAAACUGCGAAUACCGGAGAAUGUUAUCACGGGAGACACACGGCGGGUGCUAACGUCCGUCGUGAAGAGGGAAACAACCCAGACCGCCAGCUAAGGUCCCAAAGUCAUGGUUAAGUGGGAAACGAUGUGGGAAGGCCCAGACAGCCAGGAUGUUGGCUUAGAAGCAGCCAUCAUUUAAAGAAAGCGUAAUAGCUCACUGGUCGAGUCGGCCUGCGCGGAAGAUGUAACGGGGCUAAACCAUGCACCGAAGCUGCGGCAGCGACGCUUAUGCGUUGUUGGGUAGGGGAGCGUUCUGUAAGCCUGUGAAGGUGUACUGUGAGGUAUGCUGGAGGUAUCAGAAGUGCGAAUGCUGACAUAAGUAACGAUAAAGCGGGUGAAAAGCCCGCUCGCCGGAAGACCAAGGGUUCCUGUCCAACGUUAAUCGGGGCAGGGUGAGUCGACCCCUAAGGCGAGGCCGAAAGGCGUAGUCGAUGGGAAACAGGUUAAUAUUCCUGUACUUGGUGUUACUGCGAAGGGGGGACGGAGAAGGCUAUGUUGGCCGGGCGACGGUUGUCCCGGUUUAAGCGUGUAGGCUGGUUUUCCAGGCAAAUCCGGAAAAUCAAGGCUGAGGCGUGAUGACGAGGCACUACGGUGCUGAAGCAACAAAUGCCCUGCUUCCAGGAAAAGCCUCUAAGCAUCAGGUAACAUCAAAUCGUACCCCAAACCGACACAGGUGGUCAGGUAGAGAAUACCAAGGCGCUUGAGAGAACUCGGGUGAAGGAACUAGGCAAAAUGGUGCCGUAACUUCGGGAGAAGGCACGCUGAUAUGUAGGUGAAGUCCCUCGCGGAUGGAGCUGAAAUCAGUCGAAGAUACCAGCUGGCUGCAACUGUUUAUUAAAAACACAGCACUGUGCAAACACGAAAGUGGACGUAUACGGUGUGACGCCUGCCCGGUGCCGGAAGGUUAAUUGAUGGGGUCAGCGCAAGCGAAGCUCUUGAUCGAAGCCCCGGUAAACGGCGGCCGUAACUAUAACGGUCCUAAGGUAGCGAAAUUCCUUGUCGGGUAAGUUCCGACCUGCACGAAUGGCGUAAUGAUGGCCAGGCUGUCUCCACCCGAGACUCAGUGAAAUUGAACUCGCUGUGAAGAUGCAGUGUACCCGCGGCAAGACGGAAAGACCCCGUGAACCUUUACUAUAGCUUGACACUGAACAUUGAGCCUUGAUGUGUAGGAUAGGUGGGAGGCUUUGAAGUGUGGACGCCAGUCUGCAUGGAGCCGACCUUGAAAUACCACCCUUUAAUGUUUGAUGUUCUAACGUUGACCCGUAAUCCGGGUUGCGGACAGUGUCUGGUGGGUAGUUUGACUGGGGCGGUCUCCUCCUAAAGAGUAACGGAGGAGCACGAAGGUUGGCUAAUCCUGGUCGGACAUCAGGAGGUUAGUGCAAUGGCAUAAGCCAGCUUGACUGCGAGCGUGACGGCGCGAGCAGGUGCGAAAGCAGGUCAUAGUGAUCCGGUGGUUCUGAAUGGAAGGGCCAUCGCUCAACGGAUAAAAGGUACUCCGGGGAUAACAGGCUGAUACCGCCCAAGAGUUCAUAUCGACGGCGGGGUUUGGCACCUCGAUGUCGGCUCAUCACAUCCUGGGGCUGAAGUAGGUCCCAAGGGU
rnacentral:rRNA from 1 species